CUCUCCCCCUCUCCCUCUCCUCUCCCUCUCCUCUCUCUCUCUCUCUCUCUCUCUCUCUCUCUCUCUCUCUCUCUCUUCUCUCUCCUCUCUCUCUCUUUCACAGAGUCUCGCUCUGUUGCCCAGGCUGGAGUGCAAUGGUGAGAUCUCAGCUCACUGCAACCCUCACCUCCCAGAUUCAGGAGAUUCUUGUGCCUCAGCCUCCUGAGUAGCUGGAAUUACAGGCAUGCACCACCACCACGCCCAGCUAAAUUUUUGUAUUUUUAGUAAGAGUCGGGGUUUCAACAUGUUGCCCGGGCUGGUCCCAAACUCCUGAGCUCAGGCAAUCAGCCUGCCUAGGCCUCCCAAAGUGCUAGGAUUACAGUGGGCGCACCAACACAUCCAAUCCUGUCCUAAGUUCAAC
rnacentral:lncRNA from 1 species